CAUAAACAAAAGAAAAAAAAAACCGUCGUGAAGGUGCCUCAUUUCAGCGGGGCCAAUAUUUUUGCCAAAAAUUGAUUGAACAAAAAGUAUCGCCCGGCAGAGCAGCGGGCGGACAAUCUGUGCUGUUGAAGGGGAGAAUUGGCCAGCUUUCUGGAUAAGUGGACGAACCAGUCAGCUGAAGAAGAUUACCGUCCGAUUACGCCUGCUUCGAAGCUGCUCAACAAACGACUAGACUAUACAAACUUCCGGCAAGGGUACCUGCACCUGCUUUGGUGCAACAGGCGGCGAUCCAGCUGUGUACGUUUCCAAGAUUGAAGCGUGGGUUCGACAAACACCUCGACAGACCCAACUGCUAGCGGAGAUUCUCUCAUGCCAGCACGGCGUCCAAACUGGGGCUCGUUCCAGGCGGACGGGCUCCUAGCGGAGGUCACUCCGCUUAAGUCGAUCCUCUAGGUGAAAAUCGGAAAUGGAAUCACGAUCGUGGCGCAUUGCUUGGGCACCUUCGCUGCUCUUGUGUGUUGUCACUCGGGAUCCGGCAUGAACUUGAGUCCGCACCAGGACCUUUCCCGAAAGCGCGUAGAGGAAAAGAGCCAAAAUCUCCAGGACGAGGAGAACUUCCGGCGUGCCAGCUCGGCACUGAGUCUAAAAUAGGACGCGGAAAUCAACUAGAUCGCCGGCCCAAGCACGCAGGAAUAUUAUCAGCAUUACCAUUACCCAGCAUUAUCCGAGUGGCCCCGCCGCCGACGUCACUCGCCCACUCUGUUGCACAAAACGCCAAACACUGACAUCAACCGUACAUCAACGAGUGCACUGCGGAAACGCCUCCUCCUCCUUCUAAAGCAACUUGUCAACGGCGACGACGGCGCCCAGCAGUACCCAUCUGCACCACGGACAUCGAGGCCAGAUCGGACAAAUCGCUUCGUUCGAAUCGUCACCACUUUUGAUUCUGUUUUGAUAAGAACAAAUAAAUAUAAUUUAAAUGAACUCUUCUUCUUCUUAUUUCUAUCGAAAUUUCGAGCAGCAACGGUCAAUUCAAAAAGGUAAAUAUUGAAGUGGCUGCGUUCUGCGUGCUUUUGGCGGGGUAUGCGUUACUGCGUUACGUUUGCGAUAUCGGAAAUAAUCGUUUGCGAUAUUGGA